rnacentral:rRNA from 1 species
GAUGAACGCUGGCGGCGUGCCUAAUACAUGCAAGUCGAGCGAAUGGAUUAAGAGCUUGCUCUUAUGAAGUUAGCGGCGGACGGGUGAGUAACACGUGGGUAACCUGCCCAUAAGAUUGGGAUAACUCCGGGAAACCGGGGCUAAUACCGGAUAACAUUUUGAACCGCAUGGUUCGAAAUUGAAAGGCGGCUUCGGCUGUCACUUAUGGAUGGACCCGCGUCGCAUUAGCUAGUUGGUGAGGUAACGGCUCACCAAGGCAACGAUGCGUAGCCGACCUGAGAGGGUGAUCGGCCACACUGGGACUGAGACACGGCCCAGACUCCUACGGGAGGCAGCAGUAGGGAAUCUUCCGCGAUGGACGAAAGUCUGACGGAGCAACGCCGCGUGAGUGAUGAAGGCUUUCGGGUCGUAAAACUCUGUUGUUAGGGAAGAACAAGUGCUAGUUGAAUAAGCUGGCACCUUGACGGUACCUAACCAGAAAGCCACGGCUAACUACGUGCCAGCAGCCGCGGUAA